rnacentral:rRNA from 1 species
GAUUAACGCUGGCGGCGUGCCUAACACAUGCAAGUCGAACGAGGUAGCAAUACCUAGUGGCAGACGGGUGAGUAACACGUGGUCAACCUUCCCUAGUGUGGGGGAUAACUAGCCGAAAGGUUAGCUAAUACCGCAUAACAUCUACGAGCGGCAUCGCUUGUAGAUCAAAGGAGCAAUCCGCACAAGGACGGGACCGCGUCCCAUUAGUUAGUUGGUGGGGUAGCGGCCUACCAAGACUCCGAUGGGUAGCUGGUUUGAGAGAGCGACCAGCCACACUGGGACUGAGAAACGGCCCAGACUCCUACGGGAGGCAGCAGUGAGGAAUUUUCCGCAAUGGGCGAAAGCCUGACGGAGCGACGCCGCGUGUGGGAAGAAGGCCUUC